AACGAACGCUGGCGGCAGGCUUAACACAUGCAAGUCGAACGGGUGUAGCAAUACAUCAGUGGCAGACGGGUGAGUAACACGUGGGAACCUUCCUAGGGGUACGGAACAACUCAGGGAAACUUGAGCUAAUACCGUAUACGUCCGUAAGGAGAAAGAUUCAUCGCCCCUAGACGGGCCCGCGUCGGAUUAGGUAGUUGGUGGGGUAACGGCCUACCAAGCCUACGAUCCGUAGCUGAUCUGAGAGGANGAUCAGCCACACUGGGACUGAGACACGGCCCAGACUCCUACGGGAGGCAGCAGUGGGGAAUCUUGGACAAUGGGCGGCAAGCCUGAUCCAGCCAUGCCGCGUGAGUGAAGAAGGCCUUAGGGUUGUAAAGCUCUUUUACCAGGGACGAUAAUGACGGUACUGGAGAAUAAGCCCCGGCAAACUU
rnacentral:rRNA from 1 species